CGAAAGCCUGUCCCAGUUCGGACUGGAGUCUGCAACCCGACUCCACGAAGUUGGAUUCGCUAGUAAUCGCGCAUCAGCCAUGGCGCGGUGAAUACGUUCCCGGGCCUUGUACACACCGCCCGUCAAGCCAUGGGAGCCGGGGGCGCCUGAAGUCCGGGACCGCGAGGACCGGCCUAGGGCGAAACUGGUAACUGGGGCUAAGUCGUAACAAGGUAUC
rnacentral:rRNA from 1 species